rnacentral:rRNA from 1 species
UACGUAGGGUGCGAGCGUUGUCCGGAAUUAUUGGGCGUAAAGAGCUCGUAGGCGGUGUGUCACGUCGGCCGUGAAAACCUGCAGCUUAACUGUGGGCGUGCGGUCGAUACGGGCAUCACUGGAGUUCGGCAGGGGAGACUGGAAUUCCUGGUGUAGCGGUGAAAUGCGCAGAUAUCUGGAGGAACACCGGUGGCGAAGGCGGCAUCCUGGACCAACACUGACGCUGAGGAGCGAAAGCCAGGGGAGCAAACGGG